rnacentral:sRNA from 1 species
AAAAAAGAAAGAAGAAGAAGAAAC